AUCAAAGGGCGUGUCUCAAUGUCCCUGCUCCACCCUCAGCUUUCUGCUUUCUUUGAGUGUCUGCAACACACAGGGAGCUCUUCCUUGCUCUCCCCACUCAGAAGUAGAGUGCCAUUGCUUGUUACCUGGUGCUUAUAAGGCCGACGGGAGUGGAGCAGCGAAGAGGUUUUCCAUUGUCCUGGCCCCCCAAUAGUCUUAGGGAGGCCCUGUGUGUCUGGAUCUUAGGAGUGGGGCUUGCUCUGUGAUCCUGCCCCUCCUCCCAGUGUCAACCAAAUUCUGCCUUGCAUCUGGUAGAUCUCCCAUGAGAGAUGGUUUCUCGUCCAUCCCCUUGUGGUAGGAGACAUCUAAUGGUAUUGGUGUAGGAUCUCGGACUUAGGACUCUUUUGUACCCCUCACCCAGGCACUUACAGCUACAAACUUCCCUGUGAUCACUGCUUUAGCUACAAUCCAUACAUUUUGGACCUGAGCUAAAAGGCAAGCCUGCCAGUUAAAUGAUGAUUGAUUAGAUGGUAAGAGACCAUCCAGAGAGAUCUACCUCCCUGGAGAUAUGUGCUUUUCUAAGACUACAAGGAACACUGCGACUUUUCCUGAGGCUUUGGGUUACUGGAAGAUGAGGAAGGAUAAAUGUGAAGUUGUGGACUGUUUUAAAUUCCACCUGACCAUUCUGCUUUCCUGAGCAACCUACCCACGCCAAUUUAGUACUGGCUUUCUUCAGAGCAUUAGGACAAUGGGAUUCUGUCUACAGCUGUGCCAUGAACGGACUCUGAUUCCUUAGGCAAAGAAUCUCUUCUUGCUAAAAUAGUUAAUUUGAAGGAAUAACAGGAAUAUAUAAAAUAAUGUCUCAAAGUGUUUUGGUCACCUGGUAAAGAACUAGAUUUCACAUGAAUGCAACAUAAUCAGUACUAUCCUUAGCUAUUGAUGACAUAUCUAAAUGGGACAUUCUGGGCAUUGUCCGGAGCAUGCUGAACAGAAGCAUUAUAUUUUCUUAGAAAAACUUAAUGGUGCCCUCAUUUGACCAGCUUUUCACCAUGUCCAAACCUUCCAGAACAUUGUGAUUUAAAUGAUCAUAGUCUGUUCAAUUUCACUGCAAGAACAUCAUUACAUGUUUUAUUAUAAGAACAUUAAAUAUUUUCCUUCCGUGUUGGUUUUUCAAGCUGUUCUUGUUCUAGAGUAAAAGUUUCAUGUACUCUAACAAAACCUUUUCAGUUAUACAGACAGGUAACUAUCUCCUAUUUCCCAAAUUUUCAGAAUGAGUAAAUUCCAGAGGCACUGAUGAUACCAAUAUACUCAUAUUACCUCAAGUGAAGAAAGAAAGGAACACACGAACACAGAUAGUACCUGGAAUAGUGAUUAUUUAAUAGUAAGUGAUGGAUUAGUAAGUGAAUGUGUAAGUGACAUCAGCAAAAUUGAGUGAAGAUCCCAGUGACAUCUAGAUGUGAUUAGAAACUCUUACCAUUUCAACACUUGUAAGUUCAGGACAUUCAUUUAUUUUAUAUUUAUUUAUUGAAUCACUUGUCAUUUAUGUGCCACUUUCUGUUUUCUAAAUGCUUUACAAUAUUAGAAUCUAGGAAGACAGUGGUGAGGAAGACAGAUUCAGUCCUUGUUCUUGUGAAGUUUACAUUCCAGUAGAAGGGGCAGGACCACACCCUCCCAUCGCACACACAUACACACAGAACAUGAACACGGACCACAAGAGAGCGGCACAUUGCGACUAAUGUCAGGGUCAUCACAGAGAAAGAGCCGAGGGAGCCGUUACAGGUAAGGGAAGGCUGUUCUGAGAAGGUGACAUUUUGGCAAAGAUCUUUUAAUGGAGGACAGAGGAGGCAGGAAAACAACCAGAGAAUGCCUAGCAAGAAGUUGGCCUGUUGCAAAAACUGUGAGAAAAUCAUCCACUCUGAUUGGCGAGGAUGUGGCCAGCAGGGGGAAUUGCAGGAAAAUAUGACAAGGAUUUACCCAAGAAGGGACUAUUUGCAUAUAAUUGUAUUAAAAAAACCAGAGCCAUAAACACAUGUAAUAUUGAUAAACAAUGUCUUUUAUGAUCACAAACAGCAUUACAGUGUCUUUUUUUUCAGAAAUAUAUUAUGCAACUAUUUAUAUCCCAAGAUAACUGCAGACAUUCAGACAUUCACAGAAAGAAACAAAGACCGUUAUUGUCUCCAGUUUAUGAGCUUCAGGAAAAAAACGUGGGCGUGUGUGUGUGUGUGCGUGCAAGCACGUGUAAGAGAGAGAGCAAGAACAGUUAAUUACUAAACAUUAGAAGAAAGUCAAACCAUGUGUGGGCUCAUGUCAUUCAGGCCAUCACAAUCAUUUUAUUCCACAUGACAAAUGGAAUAAGAAAUAGUGAU
rnacentral:lncRNA from 1 species